CUUUGUCUCUGGCUGCAGUCGUAGCUCCAGGUCUUUUCUUCUCUGUUCUGUGUCUUCUGCUCCUAGAGGCCCAGCUUCUGUGUCCCUGUGACCUGUAGGUAUUGGGAGAUCCACAGCUAAGAUGCCAGGACCCCCUGGGAAGCCUAGAAAAAUGGUUCUGCCUGCAAAGAAGAUUGUGACAUAUUGCUGGUUGCAACACCACGGUGAUGUUACUUUUUGCCUUCUCACUGCCCUCAGAAGGCAUUGUGAUAUGUUGGUGGUCCCAGCUUCAAAGAAAUACUUGUCUGCAGCGCAGAUUGCUACAUAUUGCUUGGCCCAGCUCCUAUGUGAUGUGACUCUCCUGUCAUACCUGAGUGCUCCCCACUGCGGUAAUUGUGACAUAUAGCUGGGCUCUGGCCCUAGUUUAUGUAACUUUUCUUCCUGACUGCUACUCACCUGGGGGCAUUGUGACAUAUCUCUGAACCUCUCACCUAAGUGAUGUGAAUCUCCUGCUUGAGCCCACUUCUCAGGGAGUAUUAUUAUAUAUUGUCACACACAGCAACUAGGUGAUAUGACUCUCUCUACAGCUUGGACUCUGCCCAAUAAAAAACUGUGAUGUAUCACUGGACCCAGCACCAAGGCUAUGUGACUCUCCUGCCGGGGCUCUACAUUCAUUGUUUUUGUGACAUACGGCUGGGAAUAAUGUCUAGGUCAUGUGACUGUCCUGCAUGGACCCUGCCCACAGGGGUAUUAUGACACAUUUUUUUAGUCAUCUAGGUGAUGUGACUCACUUCUGCCUGGGCCCUGCCAGAAAGAAUGAUAGUGACUUAUCACUGAACCCAGCACUUAAGUGAUGUGACUCUCCUCUUUUGCCUGGACCUUGCAUGUUUUUGGUAUUGUGACAUAUUGCUGGGCCCAACACCUAGGAAAUGAGACAUUUUUGCUUCAGCCCUGACUACAGGCAGCUUUCUGACAUUACUCUGUAUCCAUCACAUAGGGCAUACGUCUCUCAUCUCUUCUGCCUGCACCUGCCCACAGGGAAGAUGGUGACAUAACACAACAACUAGGUGAUGUGUCUCCAGCCUGGGCCUAGCCCACCAGAAGUAUUGUGACAGCUGGUUUCUGAGCCCAGUGAUAUGUUACAAUGCUCCCUGUGGAGCCCCCUGUGACACCUGGUCUCAGAAACUAGGUGAUGUGACUACUGCCCAAGCCCUGCUUUUAGAAAGGAAUUGUGACUUAUCACUGGCCAAAUGUGACAUGAGCCUCCUGCCUGGUCCUUGCUUUCAGAGAAGACCAUGACAUAUCUCUGUUCCAGCACCCAGGUGAUGUGAUAAUACUGCCUGGGCUCUCCCCUCAGGAAGUAUCAAGACAUAUUUCUGGACCCAGCCCAUAGGUGGUAUGACUGUCCUCCACUACUUAGACUCUGCCCAAGAAGCGACUAUGAUGUAUCAAUAUUCCCAGCACUUAGAUGAUGUAACUCUCUUAUGCUUGGGCCCUGUUCACAUAGUAUAUGAAACAUAUGUCUGGGUCCAUCACCUAGUUGAUGUGACUCUUCUGCAUGGGCUCUGUCCAUGGAGAUAUGAAAUAUUUUUUCAUUCAUCCCCUGCCAUUUCUCUUUUGUGCCUCUUUUGCCUGGGCCUUGCCAAAAAGAGGAUUAUAAUGUAUCACUGGACCCAGAACCUAGGUGAGGUGACUCCUAUUUUGCCUGGGGCUCACAUAUUUGGGUAUUGUGAUAUAGGGGAUGGAUGGGAGGCACAUGAGUGGGCUUUGCUCACAGAAGGCCUUGUGACAUCUCAGCAUUCAUUACCUAGGAAAUGUGACUAUUGUCUUCCAUUUGCACCCUGCUUACAGGGAAGAUUGUGACAUAUUGCUGGACCUAGCAACCAGGUGAUGUGUCUCUCUUGCCUGAACCCUGCCCACAGGGAGCAUUGUAACAUAUCUCUGGGCUCAGCAGCCAAGGGAUGUUACUAUCCUUCCCGGUCCCUGCCCUCAAGUAAUAUUGUACAAAUCUUUGGCCCAGCACCCGGGUGAUGUGACUCCCCUGCUUAUUACCUACCUGCACGUGGAUUUGUUACACAUAAUGUUGUUCCAGCUCAUAGGUGUGAUGAUGACUCUCAUAUAUUGAACCAGCCAAUAGUUGAUACAGUCUCUCAUAGCUAGGCUUAGAAAAAUGGAUAAGAUUCUGGGUCUUCUGUUUUUAUAAAGGUCAGAAAGGAGUAUCACACUCUCACAUAUGGUAUAAAGUCUUCAGGUUGUACACAGUGUGUCAUUGCAGAGCCCAGUGCACAGGUGAGAUUUACUUGUGUGUAUGCACACCCUACUAUCCAUUAAAAUUGUAAUUCUCACAGACGGACAGACCCUACUUGUAAUCUCACAUAUGGAUGCAGUCCACAUUUGGAAUUGUCAUAUGUGAACAUCCAGCCAGAUAUGGGAUAGUAAAACAUUUUUAAAUGCAGCUCAUAGAAAGGUGAGGGCUCUCCUAUCUAGACACAGAAAAUUAGGGAGAUGUUGACUCUUAUACCUGGGGUUAAGAACACAGAUAUGAUUAUAGGUUCAUACCAGCACAAAUGUCUUAGAAUAGAUUGUGACUCUCAUGCAAAACAUAAAGCCCUAGCAUAGUACAGAGAGUGUCCUAACAGGGCCAAGCACACAGGUGAGAUUACGACACUUGUAUGCACACACUUUCAACAGUAAAGAUUGUCCUGCACCCACAUAAACAACCCGCUGUUGAGGUUCUGAACCUCACACACAAAGCCAGCUGAAAUUUGGAAAAUUGAAUCAUGUGGAUCUGGCCCACAGCUGGGUUGGUGACUCUCAGAUAAAGAUUCAGCACUCUUGUGAGCCUCUGACUCCACUAGGGGAAAAUAGUUCACAGGAGGGAUUGAGGCUUUCAGACACAGAUCUAGCCACCUUUAAGACUAUGACUCACGAAAUUAGACCCAAAAUAGAGAAGGUAUUGACUCUCAUACCUAGAACCAGGACGUGUGUGGGAUGUUUAAUAUAAUCCCUAGACCUUGCAGGUGUGAUUGUGACAUACACCUUUUCCCAGCACCUAAGUGAUUUGACCCUUCUGCCUGGGCCCUACAGAUGGGAUUGUGGCAAAUGACUAAACCUAGCACCUGGAUGAUGUGAGCCUAUAAUUUUGUCUAAGCACUUUUCACAGAGAGAAUUGUGAAAUAUUGCUGGCCCUAACACCCAGGUGAAGUGACUUUCCUCUAUUGCUUGAUCUCUCUGCCCAAGGACAGAUUGUGAUAUAUGACUGGGCCCAGCACCUAGGUAAUGUGACUUCCUUCUCCUGCCUGGGCCCUGCAUACAUUGAGUAUUGUGACAUAUGGCUGGGUCUAACACUUUCAUGAUGCAAAUCUGCAUGGGCCCGGCCUACAGAGGUAUUAGAACAUAUCUGUUUAUUCAUCACCCAGGUGACGGAGAAGAGGUGGUGAUUGAUUUCACUCUCCUCUUCUGCCGGGGCCCUGCCAAAAUCAGGGAUUGUGACAUAUCUCUGAUUUUGCAUCUAGCAUCUAGGUGAUGAAACCUGGUAGCAUCUAGCAUGUAGGUGGACCUAGCAUCUAGGUGAUGAAACUCUUCUGUUUUCCCUGGGCCCCACAUAUUUUGGAGAUUAUUACACAUAUCUGGGACCCAUACCUAUGGGAUGGGGUGCUUCUGCCUGGGCCCUGCCCACAAGGGACCUUGUAAAAUAUCUUUUUAUUUAUCACCUAGGAAAUGUGACUCUCUCUUACCUGUAUUCUGCCCAUAGAAAAUGUUGUGACAUAUUGCUGGGCCAUGACACCAGGUGAUUUGUCUUUCCUGCUAAGGCCAUGCCCAGAAGGAGCAUUUUGACAUCACUGGACUUAGCAUACAGGCAAUAUUAAUACAGGAGUUAAAUCAAAAUUAUUUUAGGGAGUUAGUAAGAGUAAGGGUUCUCAAUGGAAUUUUUCUUUAAUAAAACAGGGCCCCAGAGCUAUUUGUUUUCCUAAAAGAAAGCAGCCUAAAACGUGAAGCUGUAAGCAUAGAUCAGCAAGCUGGAAGCUUGCAUAUGCAAAUGCCAGGAGCUAUACUAAAAGCCAGGUACACCACACAUGACAAUUUUCCCUCCUUUUUCUGUCAUCACGUGUGCAGGUGUCAUGGCAUCGGCCAGGUAGAGAUUACAUUUACAUAAUAAAAGAUUAGGGUAGAAGGGACAUUUUCUUUGUGGGCUAUGUAAAUGGCACACCUGGUCAAACCAAUCUCCUGGGCCCUGUGUAAAUCAAUCACUGCCUCCUCAAUCCAAUCCUCUAUAAAAUUGAAUCUAUUCUGCCCCAAACUCAGAAACCCCCUUGGGUGACCCACUUUUUCUGAAAGAGGAAGCUCUGUCUCUCCCUUUCUUCUAUUAAACUUUCUGCUUCUUAAACUC